CGGAGGGCGUAUAACCUGCGGCUACAGCGCACAGGACUCCUCCGGCCAGCCACGAGGAGAGCGGUGGCCAGCUCACUUGCAGGAUGAGGAAACAGCUCCAGAUGAGGCUUCACGUGGCCUGCCUGAUGGAACUCCAGCAGCGGCAGAACUGAAAUAGGAACCGUUCUCCUAAAAACUAGGAGCCUACAAGCAGAUGAAAGAUUCAAGAUACAGUUUCUUUAAGGUUUUCUUAGCCUCAUUUUAAAAUCACCCAGAAUCUGCAUCCAAUGCAUUUAAGGGAGUAGAGAUGUUUUUAUAAACAUCAUGACUGCAUACAGCAGGAUCUUCUUCAUCAGAAGAAAAUGAAGAUAAAUGUUCCAAGUUUUUAAGUUUGUUAUCAGCUUUUUCUGAUGGACUAUUAUUGCCUCCAGUUUCAGACACUAAAGGUGCGGGUACUGUAGAUGAAGUCUUUGGAAGUGGUGGGGGACAAAAUGUACGAACAAUCUGGGUUCCUGGUCGUCUGGUCCUGUUAGGCAUUCGAACAGCAAGAGUGGAAAACUGUUGCUUGGGCCCAGAUUUCAGAAAAUCUAAGAAAGAAGCAAUAAAUCCUGUUUUGACUUCUGGCUGUUUUUCCUCUACUUCUUUGAUCUUCUGUCUCAUUUUUUCUUGAUGCUGAUAACCAUCAUGGCAGCUUUCCAAGGAAGGAGGAGUAUAUGGUAAAUAUAUAUCUGUUCCCAUGGGAUUCUGGCGUUUGCCUUGGGAAGGUCUUUUCAGAUGUUUCUGAUUAUUGUUGUCUUCAUCUUUAAUUUGUCCUUUUCCUUUAGCUUUUUUCUUUGGAAGGUUAAAAUGAAUUAGAUCUUGGUUUUCUUCUUCAGUCUUCACACUGAUUGGAUCCCCAGGUUGGGCCAUGGCCAACAGUGCAAGUGCACUUCUUGUGGGGUUCACUGAUACAUUACUAUCAUCAGCACUUAAAGUAAAUUCACUCUCUGAUGUAGCACUUUCUCCACUUAUGCUUCUACUACUAGCAACAAACUCUUGGUUUCUGUUAUUAUUUAAUGUAUUAUCAACAGGAACUUCACUGUCUUCUUCAGAUUCAUGAUUGGUAGCAGACUGUUUCUUGAAUGGGCCAGAGUUUUGCUCCUGGACUUCAUGACUUGGUCCAAUU